AUUGAACGCUGGCGGCAGGCCUAACACAUGCAAUCCGAGCGAGCGGCGGACGGGUGAGUAAUGCCUGGGAAUGGCCAAGCCGAGGGGGAAAACAGUUGGAAAGGACUGCUAAUCCCGAAAACGAUUGGAAUCCCAAGGUGGGAUUAGCUAGUUGGUGAGGUAAUGGCUCACCAAGGCGACGAUCCCUAGCUGGUCUGAGAGGAUGAUCAGCCACACUGGAACUGAGACACGGUCCAGACUCCUACGGGAGGCAGCAGUGGGGAAUAUUGCACAAUGGGGGAAACCCUGAUGCAGCCAUGCCGCGUGUGUGAAGAAGGCCUUCGGGUUGUAAAGCACUUUCAGCGAGGAGGCGUUACUCGCAGAAGAAGCACCGGCUAACUCCGUGCCAGCAGCCGCGGUAAUUC
rnacentral:rRNA from 1 species